rnacentral:rRNA from 1 species
UACGAAGGGGGCUAGCGUUGCUCGGAGUCACUGGGCGUAAAGCGCACGUAGGCGGUCUUUUAAGUCAGGGGUGAAAUCCUGGAGCUCAACUCCAGAACUGCCUUUGAUACUGGGAGACUUGAGUCCGGGAGAGGUGAGUGGAACUGCGAGUGUAGAGGUGAAAUUCGUAGAUAUUCGCAAGAACACCAGUGGCGAAGGCGGCUCACUGGCCCGGUACUGACGCUGAGGUGCGAAAGCGUGGGGAGCAAACAGG